CCUAGGGGAGGCAGCAGUGGGGAAUAUUGGACAAUGGGCGAAAGCCUGAUCCAGCCAUGCCGCGUGUGUGAAGAAGGCCUUCGGGUUGUAAAGCACUUUCAGUGGGGAAGAAAGCCUUGGGGCUAAUACCCUCGAGGAAGGACAUCACCCACAGAAGAAGCACCGGCUAACUCCGUGCCAGCAGCCGCGGUAAUACGGAGGGUGCGAGCGUUAAUCGGAAUUACUGGGCGUAAAGCGCGCGUAGGCGGUCUGAUAAGCCGGUUGUGAAAGCCCCGGGCUCAACCUGGGAACGGCAUCCGGAACUGUCAGGCUAGAGUGCAGUAGAGGAAGGUAGAAUUCCCGGUGUAGCGGUGAAAUGCGUAGAGAUCGGGAGGAAUACCAGUGGCGAAGGCGGCCUUCUGGACUGACACUGACGCUGAGGUGCGAAAGCGUGGGUAGCAAACAGGAUUAGAUACCCUUGUAGUC
rnacentral:rRNA from 1 species